GUGAACGCUGGCGGCAUGCCUAACACAUGCAAGUCGAACGGUAACGGGCCCGCAAGGGUGCCGACGAGUGGCGGACGGGUGAGGAAUACAUCGGAAUUUGCCCAUGUCGUGGGGGAUAACGUAGGGAAACUUACGCUAAUACCGCAUACGACCUAACGGUGAAAGCGAGGGAUCGCAAGACCUCGCGCGAUUGGAUGAGCCGAUGUCGGAUUAGCUAGUUGGUAGGGUAAAGGCCUACCAAGGCGACGAUCCGUAGCUGGUCUGAGAAGAUGAUCAGCCACACUGGGACUGAGACACGGCCCAGACUCCUACGGGAGGCAGCAGUGGGGAAUAUUGGACAAUGGGGGCAACCCUGAUCCAGCAAUGCCGCGUGUGUGAAGAAGGCCUUCGGGUUGUAAAGCACUUUUAUCGGGAACGAAACAUUGUCGGUGAAUAUCCGGCAAGACUGACGGUACCCGAGGAAUAAGCCACGGCUAACUACGUGCCAGCAGCCGCGGUAAUACGUAAGGGUGCAAGCGUUAGUCCGGAAUCACUGGGCGUAAAGCGCGCUCAGGCUGCGAUCUACGUCCUGUGUGAAAGCCCUGGAGCUCAACUCCGGGACUGGCCGUGGAUACUGGAUCGGCUUAGAGUGGGUAGAGGCUAGGGAAUUCCACGGUGUAGCGUGAAAUGCGUAGAGAUGUGGAGGAACACCGUGGCGAAGGCGGCCUUGCUGGACCAUUCACUGACCUGAGGCACGAAAGCGUGGGGAGCAAACAGGAUUAGAUACCCUGGUAGUCCACGCCGUAAACGAUGAGUAACUAGGUGUUGGGGGGUAACCUGGCCCUCAGUGUCCGAAGCUAACGCAUUAAGUCACUCCGCCUGGGGAGUACGGUCGCAAGACUGAAACUCAAAGGAAUUGACGGGGGCCCGCACAAGCAGGUGGAGCAUGUGGUUUAAUUCGAAGCAACGCGAAGAACCUUACCAAGACUUGACAUCCCGCUGACCGCUCUAGAGAUAGAGUUUCCCUUCGGGGCAGCGGUGACAGGUGGUGCAUGGUUGUCGUCAGCUCGUGUCGUGAGAUGUUGGGUUAAGUCCCGCAACGAGCGCAACCCCUAUGUUGUGUUGCCAUCAUUUAGUUGGGCACUUACAACAGACUGCCGGUGACAAACCGGAGGAAGGCGGGGAUGACGUCAAAUCAUCAUGGCCUUUAUGUCCAGGGCUACACACGUACUACAAUGGGCGGCACAAUGAGUCGCAAACCUGCAAAGGGGAGCCAAUCUCAAAAAACCGUUCUCAGUUCGGAUUGGAGUCUGCAACUCGACUCCAUGAAGCUGGAAUCGCUAGUAAUCGCUGAUCAGCAAGCAGCGGUGAAUACGUUCCCGGGCCUUGUACACACCGCCCGUCACAUCACGAAAGCCAGUUGUACUAGAAGCCGGUGAAUCAACCGCAAGGGGAUAGCCGUCCAAGGUAUGACUGGUGAUUGGGGUG
rnacentral:rRNA from 1 species